rnacentral:rRNA from 1 species
GACGAACGCUGGCGGCGUGCUUAACACAUGCAAGUCGAACGGAAAGGCCCUGCUUUUGUGGGGUGCUCGAGUGGCGAACGGGUGAGUAACACGUGAGUAACCUGCCCUUGACUUUGGGAUAACUUCAGGAAACUGGGGCUAAUACCGGAUAGGAGCUCCUGCUGCAUGGUGGGGGUUGGAAAGUUUCGGCGGUUGGGGAUGGACUCGCGGCUUAUCAGCUUGUUGGUGGGGUAGUGGCUUACCAAGGCUUUGACGGGUAGCCGGCCUGAGAGGGUGACCGGCCACAUUGGGACUGAGAUACGGCCCAGACUCCUACGGGAGGCAGCAGUGGGGAAUAUUGCACAAUGGGCGGAAGCCUGAUGCAGCAACGCCGCGUGCGGGAUGACGGCCUUCGGGUUGUAAACCGCUUCCGCCUGUGACGAAGCGUGAGUGACGGUAAUGGGUAAAGAAGCACCGGCUAACUACGUGCCAGCAGCCGCGGUGAUACGUAGGGUGCGAGCGUUGUCCGGAUUUAUUGGGCGUAAAGGGCUCGUAGGUGGUUGAUCGCGUCGGAAGUGUAAUCUUGGGGCUUAACCCUGAGCGUGCUUUCGAUGCGGGUUGACUUGAGGAAGGUAGGGGAGAAUGGAAUUUCCUGGUGGAGCGGUGGAAUGCGCAGAUAUCAGGAGGAACACCAGUGGCGAAGGCGGUUCUCUGGGCCUUUCCUGACGCUGAGGAGCGAAAGCGUGGGGAGCGAACAGGCUUAGAUACCCUGGUAGUCCACGCUGUAAACGGUGGGUACUAGGUGUGGGGUCCAUUCCACGGGUUCCGCGCCGUAGCUAACGCUUUAAGUACCCCGCCUGGGGAGUACGGCCGCAAGGCUAAAACUCAAAGGAAUUGACGGGGCCCCGCACAAGCGGCGGAGCAUGCGGAUUAAUUCGAUGCAACGCGUAGAACCUUACCUGGGUUUGACAUGGAUCGGGAGUGCUCAGAGAUGGGUGUGCCUCUUUUGGGGUCGGUUCACAGGUGGUGCAUGGCUGUCGUCAGCUCGUGUCGUGAGAUGUUGGGUUAAGUCCCGCAACGAGCGCAACCCUUGUUCACUGUUGCCAGCACGUUAUGGUGGGGACUCAGUGGAGACCGCCGGGGUCAACUCGGAGGAAGGUGGGGAUGACGUCAAGUCAUCAUGCCCCUUAUGUCCAGGGCUUCACGCAUGCUACAAUGGCUGGUACAGAGAGUGGCGAGCCUGUGAGGGUGAGCGAAUCUCGGAAAGCCGGUCUCAGUUCGGAUUGGGGUCUGCAACUCGACCUCAUGAAGUCGGAGUCGCUAGUAAUCGCAGAUCAGCAACGCUGCGGUGAAUACGUUCCCGGG